rnacentral:rRNA from 1 species
UACGUAGGUGGCGAACGUUAUCCGGAGUGACUGGGUGUAAAGGGUCCGUAGGCGGGAGAGCAAGUCUGACGUGAAAGCGCCUGGCUCAACUAGGCGACUGCGUUGGAAACUGCUGUUCUUGAAUCACGCAGAGGUCGGCGGAAUUCCCGGUGUAGUGGUGGAAUGCGUAGAGAUCGGGAGGAACCUCGAAAGCGAAGGCAGCCGACUGGGGGAUGAUUGACGCUGAGGGACGAAAGCGUGGGGAGCGAACAGG